UUGAAAGGGAAACGAUUGAAGUCAGUCGUACCAGCGGGAAUCAACCUUUCGAGUGGGGGUUUUGGAGUUUUGAAGAGUUUCAAAACCUUUGAGAUUUCAAAAAUUUCGCUCUUUUGGUGUACUUUCUCGUGGGUAGGUUAACAUCGAUUUUGAUCAUCAUAAAAAGAUUGGAGGAAUGUAGCUUCGAUCUUGUAUUGAAGUGUUAUAGCCUUUGGUAAAUGUGAUGAUUAGGAUCGAGGAUUGCAACGAAUACCCUUCUGGGCUAUCCGCCUGAUCUCUGAUACGUGGCCUUGGCAUCGAAAGCUUGCUUAUGGUAUCAAGGUAUUACGGUCAAAAGGUUAGAACGGAUUACAUUCGUUAAGGAUGUUGACGUA
rnacentral:rRNA from 1 species